UUCAACUAAAUAUCUUGCUCAAUUUUGCGCUAGUUACCAAAAUAUGGGUAAAUGUCAUUUGUAUUUGUUCCCUUAACUAACCUGAAAUAAGUUACCUGAAUAUUUGAUUUAACAUUUUCAAUCUUAAAAUUAAAAACUAAUUAAGCAUUCUCUAGGGUUUCAAAAUUUGUGUGUAUAAUACAAUCUCUUUUCCUCUUACUUUUUGGUGAUAUUUCGAGAGCUUGUUGUCGUUCAUGAUGAAAAAUUUAUUGGGUGUGAAUUCAAGUUGGGUGGUCCAAAUGUGGUGCCGCAUGAGGUGAUGAUGAUUUCA
rnacentral:lncRNA from 1 species